ensembl:snoRNA
GUCCUUUUGCAGUUCGUAAGCAAGAUGAAUGGGUGUUCAUGCCCAUAUGUGAGAUGUGCCUCCCUCAAACCUUGUGAAGACGUCGGCACAUUACCUGUCUGACA